GACGAACGCUGGCGGCGUGCUUAACACAUGCAAGUCGAGCGGUAAGGCCCUUUCGGGGGUACACGAGCGGCGAACGGGUGAGUAACACGUGGGUGACCUGCCCUUAGCUCUGGGAUAAGCCUGGGAAACUGGGUCUAAUACCGGAUAUGACUCCAUGACGCAUGUUGUGGGGUGAAAGCCUUGUGCGGCUAGGGAUGGGCCCGCGGCCUAUCAGCUUGUUGGUGGGGUGAUGGCCACCAAGGCGACGACGGGUAGCCGGCCUGAGAGGGCGACCGGCCGACACUGGGACUGAGACACGGCCCAGACUCCUACGGGAGGCAGCGAGUGGGGAAUCUUGCGCAAUGGGCGAAAGCCUGACGCAGCGACGCCGCGUGGGGAUGACGGCCUUGGU
rnacentral:rRNA from 1 species